rnacentral:rRNA from 1 species
UACGUAGGGUGCGAGCGUUAAUCGGAAUUACUGGGCGUAAAGCGUGCGCAGGCGGCGCGUUAAGACAGGUGUGAAAGCCCCGAGCUUAACUUGGGAAUUGCGCUUGUGACUGGCGGGCUGGAGUGCGGCAGAGGGAGGUGGAAUUCCACGUGUAGCAGUGAAAUGCGUAGAGAUGUGGAGGAACACCGAUGGCGAAGGCAGCCUCCUGGGCCAGCACUGACGCUCAUGCACGAAAGCGUGGGGAGCAAACAGG